GCCUUCGUGGUGUAGUGGUCAGCACGCUCGACGCGUAUUCGAGAGAUCCAAGGUUCAACUCCCCUCGAAGGCA
rnacentral:tRNA from 1 species